GAUGAACGCUGGCGGCGUGCCUAAUACAUGCAAGUCGAGCGAACGGACGAGAAGCUUGCUUCUCUGAUGUUAGCGGCGGACGGGUGAGUAACACGUGGAUAACCUACCUAUAAGACUGGGAUAACUUCGGGAAACCGGAGCUAAUACCGGAUAAUAUUUUGAACCGCAUGGUUCAAAAGUGAAAGACGGUCUUGCUGUCACUUAUAGAUGGAUCCGCGCUGCAUUAGCUAGUUGGUAAGGUAACGGCUUACCAAGGCAACGAUGCAUAGCCGACCUGAGAGGAUGAUCAGCCACACUGGAACUGAGACACGGUCCAGACUCCUACGGGAGGCAGCAGUAGGGAAUCUUCCGCAAAGGGCGAAAGCCUGACGGAGCAACGCCGCGUGAGUGAUGAAGGUCUUCGGAUCGUAAAACUCUGUUAUUAGGGAAGAACAUAAGUGUAAGUAACUGUGCACAUCUUGACGGUACCUAAUCAGAAAGCCACGGCUAACUACGUG
rnacentral:rRNA from 1 species